CAGUCGUCCAGUAAUCACAAUGGAUGUAUUCAUGUAGCCAUUUCUAUUUACAGAAGUGUUCUGAAAAGGGCUUUAUCGACCAGUGAGUUUUUGUAUCGACUGGGGCCACAAGCCAGGGGCUCGUAGCUCUGACGUCAUCAGUGCCAAUGUGUCAUUCGCUUUCGGGCUCCAGGAGGUUGACCUGACUCCCUCCGCGAAGAGACGGCGCGCAGGAAAGCAGUGAGAUCGAAACAUCCUGUAAAACAAAACUAACGUAAACAAAUGCAAUAUACAGCAUUUUAUUAUUGUUUGUCAGUAAAAAUUUAAAUUUUGCUACAGCUAGCUUGUAAACAGUUGCGAGUAUUUCAAUUGAGGAGCAAGUCGACGUCGGUCUGGUCAACUUGGAUAGCUAGCAGUUAGUUUACACAGCUAACGUUAGGCCUAGCGUGAAGCUAUCCACCGCAGGAAAAGCAACAUACGAAGGAAUGAGUGAUGACCUCUGUUGUGGUGGCAGAUGGUGGAGGGAAUAUGGUGGAGUAUGUCACUGUCAUGGAAGAGACUGAGCAGGUAAGAUAGUAUCACCAGGAUUACCCUAACAGCCUGUCCGGUGAAGGAAAGUUGGCCUAUUUGGAAAAAGUAUAUGACAAACAGUGGCACUCUGAAUAACCUAAAAUGAUAACUCUCAAAUAGUUUUUUCACAGUCAGGCUAACCCAAACUUCUGUGCAAGUAGGCUAAUAAUAGGCAUACUAUUGACACAGAUAAAUAAGACUGUCAACUGAAUCAGAAAUUCAUAAGUUAUUUUCUUAAUUUUGAUUCAAGGUUCUCUCUCUCACGCUAAUAGAACAACAAAAUUGGAUGUUCCAAGCCCACAAUAAUGCUUAAACCACAUCAGGAGACAAAUUUGAGGUCUGGGAAAAAUCAAAGAAAUAUAGAUUUGAGUCUAGUUACCCUUAUAUUAAACUGCACAGGCACCUAGCAUUGUUUUUUCUGUAGUGCACAUGCGAUGGAGUUUGCAAAACAAAUGGCCACUGGAUUGAUGCUAAUAAUCAUGAUAUCAUUCUGGGAGGUAGGCAUAAUCUACUUUGUAGGUAGUUAACAUUUAAUUAAGAAGGUUUUUGCGAAAGCCU
ensembl:lncRNA